rnacentral:ncRNA from 1 species
UCCUGACAGCGAUCCCCGCUGACACUAGCCACGACAGGAGUUAACCAUG